CUAAUUCCUUUUGUCCCCCACCAGAAACGAAUCGAAACCCAAUGAUAAACCAAACAAACAAACGCCAUGGGGGGCGUACUCCCUGAUCGCUUACAUGAUCGUGCUCACUAAAAUCAGCACAAGACUCGAGAUGUACACAGCUCUCUCCCCCAUCCAAAAAAAAAAAGAAAUCUUUUAUUUCUGUGGGCAACCAAACAAUUCUAUUGACAUAUGUAUGCUUGUGGUUCAGAUCUAUCCGUGAGUGCGGCUAAACAGUGGCUUUUGACUAGAGCAAAUGAAAAUUCACCUAAGAUUGCGUAAUGUGGCAGUUUAUCUUACUAGGUUCCAUCCUUUCCUGGGUGUGGAGGUGAUGCUGGAUCUGUAAGCAGCGAUUGACUGAAUUAAUCUUCAGGUCUUGAAGUCGAAUAUCUUGUAUUCAUGCCGCUGGGAAAUUCAGAUUGGAAUCCAGUUCUCUCUUUUUGGUGUUUGGGUGUGGUGGUGAUGCAGGAGAAACAAGCAGCAUUAGAAUGGGUUAAUUCAGGUCUCCUAUCCGAGAUUCAUGUAAUUCUGUUGCGGUUUAGAUAUGGUUCUCAAACAAUCCUUCUCAUAAUCAUUGAAAUUCAUUCAUUCAAUUUUCUGGUCGUGGUGUUUAGGCUUCUAGUUAGCAAAUGGAGAGUUCCUACAUUCUAAUGUCAGUAUUCUAAUUCUUCUAGCUAGUAUUGAUUAUAAUGUACUCCUUCCUUACCCAACAAUGAUGGGUGAAGUGGACCUCUCAACAAUGCUUACAUUGAAAUUGGAGUUGUUAGUCUCUUUGAACUCUUAUUGAAGUUCCUGGAGUUCGGAAGCUCCUAGCCUCCUAUACUACACUUUAUACUAGCCACCAUGUAUGUGACCCAGAAUAGUGAUUGGCUGAUGAUGGACCAACGAUUAAGACAUAAAUUUGUUACAUGCAUGUAAAUAUGCAAUUCUUUCCUCAUUUAUGUAUUUGACAUUGUUACUUUUAUGUGGUAUCUAUAUCUAUGGAUUUGAGGCUUAUAUAUCACUAUAUUUCACCCUCAAGUUUCAUACUUACCUGUAGAAUAUCCCUUGGCUUUAGUCUUGCUUGGUUCCAUUCAUUCAAGGUGUGGAGGUGAUGCAGGAGAAACAAGCAGCAAUAGAAUGGGUUAAUUCAGGUCUCCCAUCCAAGAUUCAUGUAAUUCUGUUGAGGUUUAGAUAUGGUUCUCAAACAAUCCUUAUCAUAAUCAUUAAAAUUCAUUCAUUCAAUUUUCUGGUCUUGGUGUUUAGGCUUCUAGUUAGUAAAUUGAGAUUUCCUACAUUCUAAUGUCAGUAUUCUAAUUCUUCUAGCUAGCAUUGAUUGUAAUAUAUUCCUCCCUUUCCCAACAAUGAUGGGUUAAGUGGAUCCCUCAACAAUGCUUAAAUUAAACAUUGUGGAGUUUGUUAGUCUCUUUGAACUCUUAUUGAAGUUCCUGGAGUUCGGAAGCUCCUACACUACGCCUUAUACAAGCCACUAUGUCUGUGACCCAGUAUAGUGUUUGGCUGAUGAUGGACCAAUGUUUAAGACAUAAAAUUGUUGCAUCAUUUAUGUCUUUGACAUUGUUACUUUUAUGUUAUAUCUUUGGAUUUGAAGCAUAAUAUAACUAUAUUUCACUCUCAAAUUUGAUGCUUACUUGUAGAAUUUCCUUGGAUUUAAUCUUACUUGGUUCCAUUCAUUCAAGGUGUGGUGGUGAUGCAGGAGAAACAAGCAGCAUUAGAAUGGGUUAAUUCAGGUCUCCUAUCCGAGAUUCAUGUAAUUCUGUUGGGGUUUAGAUAUGGUUCUCAAACAAUCCUUCUCAUAAUCAUUGAAAUUCAUUCAUUCAAUUUUCUGGUCGUGGUGUUUGGGCUUCUAGUUAGUAAAUGGAGAGUUCCUACAUUCUAAUGUCAGUAUUCUAAUUCUUCUAGCUAGUAUUGAUUAUAAUAUACUCUUCCUUACCCAACAAUGAUGGGUGAAGUGGACCUCUCAACAAUGCUUACAUUGAACAUUGGAGUUUGUUAGUCUCUUUGAACUCUUAUUGAAGUUCCUGGAUUUCAGAAGCUCCUACACUGCACUUGAUACAAGUCACUGCUACGUUUGACCAAGUACAGUAAUUGCUUGAUGGAUGGACCAACAUAGUCUAUCCCUAUCUCUUUCUCAAUAAUUAUUUAUGCUGGCCAUCAAUUAGGUGGUAGAAGAAGGUCCUUUUUGUUUGAAGUCUGGGUAACUAGGUUUACCUAGAAAAGUAUAAUUCCAAAUAAUUAUCGGGUUUAUUAACUGCCUUUUUGCUGUGAUUGUAAACAAUUCAUGAAUUAAAAGAUUGGCCAUUUUCCACACUAGUCCUAUGUGACACUAAUCACCCUGCUUUGGUUAUAUUGCCUUCAAUGGAUGAUAAAGUCACCUGUUAUUUUUCUUGUUUCCAGAACUUGUUAUGGUAUUUUAUUAAUUCUAUUCAAUUGCAUUUUAUUCCAUUUUGUAACUAUGUCAGACUGUCAGGCUGUUGUUAAUUGCAAGCUAAGGCUUCUCUCGUCUUCUUCUUUAAGGGCAUUUUUUGCCAGCAUAUUUUAUGAAGUUCAUAUAAAAUUGGUUUAGGAGAAAAUGUGGCUUUAACUUAGGAUCUCUACCAGCAUCCUGUGUCUAUGAUAUCCCCGCCCCCCAACCCA